UCCAGGCUGUGCCAAACAAGUCAGUCUGCGAUAUGUGUACGCAUGGCUUGAUGACGUAGCACACAAGUGCCUACAUCUGUCAGAAAGUUAGCAGAAGCAGACGAGUAUACUUCAAGUGUUAUGCGGCCGUGAUAUAUUACCGAGCUGAUAGAUCUGAGGACACAAUGCCGAUCCCACACAUCCACCAUCUGACCCAGGCGGUACCCCUGGCGCUUCUCUUCCUCCUGCUGCUGUUCGUGGCCGCCUUCCUGGUGUACAAGUACAGCAUGUUCUCGGGGAGCAAGGCCAAGUAGACACCUGCACACGACGUUCUCUCAUGAUGACUUAUUGCACAAAAGACGGUCAGCCUUGACCCGAGGUUUCCCCCUAUUCGGACACGUUCAGGAAACACCAGCGACAGAAUUGCAGUGCUGUACAUAUAAUGUCGAUAUGAUCAAUCCGGUUUGCGUGGCUCUCACAGCAUACAAUGAUGAAAUGCAGAGUGAUAUCUAUAAUGUAAUUCACGGAAUAUAAAAGCAAGAUGUGGAAAUGA